rnacentral:misc_RNA from 1 species
GAAGAAGGUGGGGAAAGAAUAGCUGAACAAAAACAAUAUGAAUCAACCCGAUAUAACCCCCUUUGAUUUCCUCUCAAAUCUUACAAGAGUACAUUGUAAUUUCAAAUUUUCAAAGAAUCCACUAAAUAGUUAUCAACCAGAAGAAUGAUCUCUGAUCCUCUUCCCUUUUUAUGUGGACAAGUAGCACUAUAACCAAUCAGUUAUGGGCUGAAAGAUGACACCAACAUGAUAUUCAUCCUAUGAAGCAUCAUUGUUUGUAGAGUAACUGCAAGUUGACCAGUCCCAUUGUCUCCUUGAGCUAUUAAAUACUAAACUCUGCAUGCAAUG